UUCCUACGGGAGGCAGCAGUUGCGAAAACUCCACAAUGCACGAAAGUGUGAUGGGGCUACCCCGAGUGCCGUCCGCUGAGGACGGCUUUUCUCUGCUGUAAGGAGGCGGAGGAAUAAGGAGAGGGCAAGUCUGGUGUCAGCCGCCGCGGUAAUACCAGCUCUCCGAGUGGUAGGGACGAUUAUUGGGCCUAAAGCGUCCGUAGCCGGCUCGGCAAGUCUCCCGUUAAAUCCAACGAUUCAAUCGCUGGACUGCAGGAGAUACUGUUGGGCUAGGAGGCGGGAGAAGCCAUCGGUAUUCUCGGGGUAGGGGUGAAAUCCUGUAAUCCCGGGAGGACCACCAGUGGCGCAACGCUGAUGAGCAUAGCA
rnacentral:rRNA from 1 species